GCGAGGGCCUUUUUUUUGGCAUGUCCAGGCAUGUUGACAUGGAUAGCUUUUUGUAUUUCUGCAUUGGAACAGAACACAUUCCUUUUAAUGAAUAAUUUCAAGACUAUGUAUCUUCCUCUUAAUCACAUAAGUAUAGAGAUCAACUCUCAAAAUGCGCAAAAAAAAUUCUUGUACAACUGCAAUUUCAUUGAAAAUUUGUGUUGGUUAGAAUCUUUCACCAAUCUACUCAUAUGUGUCUUAAUAUUAUUACAAGAAAAUGAAAUAGAGACUUAAAAAUGACAGCUUAAUUUCAUUAACUCAAGAGAGCAUGAUUUUGCAAAAUGAAAAUACAGUACAGGCCUGCAUUUGCUAAAUCCUCUAAAAAUGCUGUGUGCUCUUGUUAGGAUGCUCAUUUAAUUUAAAAUGAAACAUUUUGGGAGCUCUGGAGAAGACUCAAAACUUCAUGAUGAAUUAGUCUUUUAUUAUGUUGCAAAAUUUACUCAUCAUGCUUUUCUGACUGCCAUGAAUAUUUUAGUGACACAAACAUGUUAGUUGCUUUUGUUACUAUUGGUUAUGAUUUUGACGCCUGUAUUAACAGAUUGGUCAAGGCCAAAUAAAAGAGAUGCCACAUUGCAGUAAUACAAAUGUGUCUAUUAUUGCAAAUGAACACUCUAAUAACACUAAUGUUACAAAAAUGUGUCUCAGGCGGAUACUUGCGCCCAAAAUUUGAAAAUGUUCAGCCAAUUUUACCAUGUAUGAUGGGGCAGAAUGACUGAACAUCUCACCAGCACAUAGGUAUCUUGAGUUCUCUCCGUCAUAGGUGUUUUCAGUCAAUAACAGUUGCUUAAUAUUGUAGAUUCUUUAAGCCAUCUUGUAUGAUUGAAAAGUCUGCUAACAAAAACCAGAAAAACAUGCUAUUUAUAGUCAAAAUGACAAUGAAAAAGAGCAACAGUCAUUGCCAUGCAAGUUUUUUGUUGGUCAUUUACUCUAUGUUUUAAUGAUGGUUAUAAACAGAAAGAAUGGUAAACAGAAUGUGAAUACUUCGCAGGUCAUAAAAAUUUAAUGCAGAAGGACUUUGAGACACAUGGCUUAAAGUUUAUA